GAGCUUUCAGUCAGUCAAUAAUUUUGUUGCUGUUGGAAAACGUUAGCAUGGUGACCAGGUCAGCGAUGCUCUGGAUACGCGAUUGCUCCGGAUUCUGAAGUGGUUGAUCGUGCAGGCCUCGAGACUCCACUGUCAGCACAGAAGGCUGAAUUGUUUGCCCUCAACAAUAUAUUUACCACUGUUGCAGGCUUACAUCCUGGCAGAAGCCUCACAGAUACUGUCCAGCCUAGCGGUGAUCAAAUGUUCAGCUCACACUGGUGCCGCUGACAUCAAGCAGGCAGCCUUACACCCUACUUUCCUGGUUCCGCAACACCUUGUUACAAUAAGUAUGAGGACAGGUAUGCCAGAUCUGGGUGAGAUAUGUCACUUACAGGGCAGUGCCCCUACAGAGGAACACAGACUGUGGGUCACAGAUGGGGUGCACCCUUGAUGUUCGUACCAAACUGAGGGACAGGUCUGUGUUCCUUCUUUGCUUUUAUCAAUCUUGGUGGAUUAUGUACAUAACUGUACAUACCUAGGCAAGGAGGGAAUGGUCAGCACUUUGCUAAACCAGGUGGCAUCCUGAUUCCCAAAACAAUGGCUGAGAAAUGAGCCAAAGCAUGCUUGAUCCACAAAAAGACAAAUGCUGGGAAAGGAAUGCCUUGCAGUUCUGGGACUACUCCCCUGCCUGGUCGGCCUUUCAAUUGUCUACAACUAGAUUUCAUAGAAUUAUCCAGGAUACAAUGUUAUAAGUACUGUUUGGUAAUAGUAAAUGGCUUCAGCAGAUGGAUUGAGGCAAUCCCGACAAGGGACAACACAGCUGCAACAGUGGUAAACAUAUUGUUGAGGGAAAUAAUUCCCUGCGAUGGACUCCCAGAGACAAUAAGCUCAGACAAUGGGCCACACUUCGUGGCUAAAAUUAACCAGGGGAUCUGCAGGAAACUAGCAAGAAAACAACAAUUCCACUGCACUCAACACUCAAAGGCAGCUGGAGGGGUGGAACCAGCAAAUGAUGCCCUAAAAAGCAAGCUGGCGAAGCUAAAACAGGAAACAGGCCUGAGUUGGUUGAAGGUCCUACCCUUGGCCCUGUUCCACAUGAGGGUUACCCCAUCAAGCAAAACCAGCCUGUCUCCUGCUGAGGUGGUUUACGGGAAGCCCAUGAGGACCCCAUGGGCCCUGGGAUAGUCUGAGCCUCCUCCCCGAGAGACUAGAUAUGAACCCCUGGGAGAGGAGAUGGGGGCGUACCGACAGGAGCUAAUCAAAUCUCUCCAAAGUUCGCAUUUGCAGAUACGCCAGGCUUACAGAGCAAGCGACAAUCUGCCUAAAGGAGACUACUCCGCUGCCGAGACAGGGGACUUCAUCCUGAUAAAAGACUGGGAACGAAAGAAGCUGGGACCAAAAUGGAAAGGACCAUUCCCGGUGCUGACCACCCCCACGGCUGUGA